AAAUAUAUUUAAAAUAUUAAACACUAGCUCUUUUUAACAUGUCUAAAAGCAUUGCCUCAAUAUCAUUGAGAGUCUUGUGAUGGAGGAGUAGUUACUAAUUUUAUACUCUAUCCGUCCUAUAAAGGUGUAUAACAUAUGGGAUUACUUGAAAAUUUUAAGAAAAAUAUUGAAGGAUAAUGUGUUGAGUGGAAAUUAGUAGUUGUGGUUGAGUUGAUUAUGUGGUUAUGUAGAAAUGUGUGAUUGUGAUUAAAAAAAAGUAAGUUCAUUUCCCAAAAUAAAAAUGAUACUAUGAGACGAACGAAAGUAAAAAAUGUGAUACACUUUUACAGAACGAAAGGAGUAUAUAUUUAGAAUCCGUUUGAUAGACUAGAUAAACCCACGAUAGAAGAGCUAUUUGGGUUUAGCCAAUUAUUUGGUGUCCUAU
rnacentral:lncRNA from 1 species